UACGAGAGGACCGGAGUGGACGAACCUCUGGUGUUCCGGUUGUCAUGCCAAUGGCAUUGCCGGGUAGCUAUGUUCGGACAGGAUAACCGCUGAAAGCAUCUAAGCGGGAAGCCCCUCCCAAGAUGAGAUCUCACUGGAACUAUAAGUUCCCUGAAGGGCUGUUGAAGACUACAACGUUGAUAGGCAAGGUGUGGAAGCGCAGUAAUGUGUGAAGCUAACUUGUACUAAUUGCCCGUGAGGCUUGACCAU
rnacentral:rRNA from 1 species